GACAUCUUGGCCGAGUGGUUAAGGCGUUGCCCUGCUAAGGCAAUACAUUCGUGUGCGUAGGUUCGAAUCCUGCAGAUGUCG